UACGAGGGGGGCAAGCGUUGUUCGGAAUUAUUGGGCGUAAAGGGCGCGUAGGCGGCGCCACAAGUCACCUGUGAAAACUCUGGGCUCAACCCAGAGCCUGCAGGCGAAACUGUGGUGCUGGAGUAUGGGAGAGGUGCGUGGAAUUCCUGGUGUAGCGGUGAAAUGCGCAGAUAUCAGGAGGAACACCGAUGGCGAAGGCAGGUCUCUGGGCAUUAACUGACGCUGAGGAGCGAAAGCAUGGGGAGCGAACAGG
rnacentral:rRNA from 1 species